rnacentral:lncRNA from 10 species
CUCUCCAGCUCUCCUGGCUGGGCCGCGCCCCCUCGCCAGGCUCUAACCCAAGAUCCUCGCUGCCUCUCCAGCUUUCCUGGUGCCCGCAGUGCUUGGCUUGCGGCUGGUUCACUCCGAUCUCUGCCUCCCUCUGACGAGGCCCUCUGCGAUUCCAGUGGACCCCCCAGGACAGUCAGCUCCCAUCUUCAGGCCCUUCGCUGAGCCCACCUGCAGGGUCCGUGGAAGGGACAUUCACAGGCUCCGCCGACUGCAACAUGGGUAUCUGUAGGAGGCCAUUAUUUAGUCUACAAUAGGGCCACUAACUACUCUCUAGUUUACAUUCAAAAUUUUUCUUACUUACAUGUUUUUUUUUUCUGUGACUGCUGCAUGGGGACAUGAAAGUAAUGAAUAAAUAAAAAGCUCAUUCCUCC